rnacentral:lncRNA from 1 species
CUCCACUUGUCGCAGAGGGAGCGGUGCAUUUUGCAGAAAGACAAGGGGCUUCUGGCGACCGGUUCCUCUCCCGCUGGGGCCUGGGAAAUGGCAGCUGCUGCAGACGCAGCCUUGAGGACAGCCACGUGCCCGCUCAGCACCGUUACUUAGAAGAUAGGAUCCAAGAGCCACGAAUCCAUCCACCGAAGCCAUCGAAUUAUUUUCUAUCCACCUAACCCAUCCAUCUUUCUGGCUACCACCCAUCCGCCCAUCCACCCAUCAGUCCCAUUUAUUCAUCACGCGCCCGACCACCCCGCACGUACAUCAACCCCAUCGUACACGUACGAUCCAUCCACCACCUACGUCCUCAUCCGUCUGCUGCUCCGCUGCCUGCUCCCUCACCCUUUUGUCUGGUCGGCGAGUCUGUGCCAGGCCCGUACCAGCCUCUCUGGGCCUCUGAGGUUGGCCAGAGAUGGGGCCUGGGCAAGCUCAGCUCUCACGGAGGGUAGAAGGUGACGUCCGGCCAUACCAGGAGAAGCCCGGGGCCAGAGGAUCCGAAAGGGUUCUGUGGAAGUGGUGGCCUUCAGCUGAUCCCUGACAGAGGGGAGGAUUAUAAAGGUUCGCUUUAGCUGUGAUUUGGGGGUCAGACCCCAUGGGGCAGAGGGGCGCCACAGCACAACCCAUUAGAGGCCUGUGGUGUGUCCAGACAGGAGUGGCCUGGACCGGAGGGAGGAUGUAGGUGAGGAAAUGGGGGGCAGCUAUGAGAAAUCAGGAGUCAAACCACGCAGGACCCGGUGAGGGAGUGGAUAUGGAGGCUGAAGGAGAGAGAGG